rnacentral:misc_RNA from 1 species
GUGAAUCAUCGAAUUUUUGAACGCAAAUUGCACUCUCUGGGAUUCCGGUGAGUAUGCCUGUGUGAGGGUCAGUUUAAAUAAAAAUCGGCGUUGUUGCUGCCUUUCGUGGUUACGCACCGGAUUUGGGUUGUCCUGUCUUCGGUUAAGCGACCUAAAAUUUUGUAUGAUUUUUUUCGAACGUUUUUAAAUGAUUUUUCUUACGUUUGCGAUAUCGAAUUCUUGGUGUGGUG